GACGAACGCUGGCGGCAUGCCUAAUACAUGCAAGUCGAGCGGAGUUGAUGGAAAGCUUGCUUUCCUGAUACUUAGUGGCGGACGGGUGAGUGACACGUAGGCAACCUGCCCUCAAGCUUGGGACAACUACCGGAAACGGUAGCUAAUACCGAAUACUUGUUUUCUUCGCCUGAAGAGAACUGGAAAGACGGAGCAAUCUGUCACUUGGGGACGGGCCUGCGGCGCAUGAGCUAGUUGGUGAGGUAACGGCUCACCAAGGCGACGAUGCGUAGCCGACCUGAGAGGGUGAUCGGCCACACUGGGACUGAGACACGGCCCAGACUCCUACGGGAGGCAGCAGUAGGGAAUCUUCCGCAAUGGGCGAAAGCCUGACGGAGCAAUGCCGCGUGAGUGAUGAAGGUUUUCGGAUCGUAAAGCUCUGUUGCCAGGGACGAACGCUUGGGAGAGUAACUGCUCCCAAGGUGACGGUACCUGAGAAGAAAGCCCCGGCUAACUACGUGCCAGCCGCCGCAGUAA
rnacentral:rRNA from 1 species